AUUGAACGCUGGCGGCAUGCCUUACACAUGCAAGUCGAACGGCAGCACGGGGCAACCUGGUGGCGAGUGGCGAACGGGUGAGUAAUGCAUCGGAACGUACCUUUAAGGGGGGGAUAACGUAGCGGAAGUUACGCUAAUACCGCAUAUUCUGUGAGCAGGAAAGCAGGGGAUCGCAAGACCUUGCGCUGAUUGAGCGGCCGAUGUCAGAUUAGCUAGUUGGUGAGGUAAAGGCUCACCAAGGCGACGAUCUGUAGCGGGUCUGAGAGGAUGAUCCGCCACACUGGAACUGAGACACGGUCCAGACUCCUACGGGAGGCAGCAGUGGGGAAUUUUGGACAAUGGGGGCAACCCUGAUCCAGCCAUGCCGCGUGAGUGAAGAAGGCCUUCGGGUUGUAAAGCUCUUUCGGCCGGGAAGAAAUCGCACGGGCUAAUACCCUGUGUGGAUGACGGUACCGGAAUAAGAAGCACCGGCUAACUACGUGCCAGCAGCCGCGGUAAAAC
rnacentral:rRNA from 1 species